UUUUUGCCUUAUCUCAACAUCACUUCAGGGGUUUAUUUUCUUAAAACGGAUUGCCUCUCUCCGUGUUGUUACUUAAAUAAGACAACUUUUUCAACUCAAGAGUGGCGCCAUACACGGGCGGGAUAUUUUACUGACAUAUUUUAAAGUUUCGAAUAAAUGAUGGGUUUAAUAAGGAGUUUGGUAGGCCGACCUGCUGUUCUGCUACUCUUCGGUUUAGUCGCUGUGUUCGCGCAAACUGCCGCACCAAGGAUAGUUGAGUUAGUGACACUUCUUUUGUUGUUUUUCUUAACCAUUGAUUUGUCGCUUAUAGAUUAUUUUGAUGUAUAUGACAACAUAUUAUAGUUGAUUAUGUUGGCUCUAGUUAGUCUAUGACGUUAAUCUCCGCAAAUACAGCUGGUAGUGAAGUACCCUCGAACCAGUAUUUCCCCGAUUUUAUAUUGUAGCCUAUUUCACAGUGACUUUGCCUUUAGGUAAAACAGAAAAUGACUUAAUGCUUGUUUUCAGUUCCUUUUAUAAUGGUGUAAUUUAGACUUUCAUCAACCUCCACGUUUAUAUUAUUAUAUUCAGAUAAUGGCUCUUUAAUUUCAAGUGUCUUGGUACAUUAGUAACGUAUUUGGCCUUUUCACUGUUAGGGAGUUGGCUCUUGCUUUCUGCUAAAUGCUUGUGUAACUGAAACCUUUUUAGCGGGAACGUUGGAGUGUUUUCAGUUCCUUCUCAGACACAUUUCAGUAGCUAUAAUCGUGACUGGCUGGCCCUUUUAACUGUUAAGUGUUUGGGUGAAACCAGUUAAAGUGUCCAAAGAGACACCUGUUCCCUGUCUUGGAAGAAUCCUUCAGCCUUUUAGCCCCAUAGAAACCAGACUACCAGGCUUCCUCUUCUUAUCUGGAGCCAUAGAACUAACAGAAUGUACACAAACAAUUCUGUGGAGUCAUACAGUCUAACAACAAAUGGAAAUAUCUACAGUAGGCUGGGUCUUACUGCAGUGUGUGAGACUAAGAAUGGAACAAGCUGUGAGGAAUGUGUAACGAUUGUGACGGUCUACAAGGUUCGAUGCCAAGAUGGAGAGGCGGACAAAUAAGAUGAAGGGAAAACAGGAAGAGAGAUGAAGAUGAGGCAUGAAGAAAUCAGAAUGAAAUAUGGUCUCAGUGGGUUCAACCCGUACUCCGAAUUCUCAUGAGCUGAUAUUUGAACACUGUACUAUCAACUGCCUGCCUUCUCUUCACCUCUGACCUUUCACCCCCACCCCCCCACCCCAAGGACUGUUAACCUUAGUCUGCUCUAUGCUCAGCUUACCCUCCCUUAAACCAAAAGUAGAGGUGUUUUAAAGGUUUUGUAUCAUUUCAGACCGUAGUAUUGAAUGUAGUGCUCACAAGCCAAAACGGGUUGCCAAAUAUUGUGCACAACGUCACUUAUUUCGUAUAUGUUACGUCCUGCAAAAAAAUAAUCCUGCAAUUUGUAUGAUGUUAUGAAUUCCAAUUCGUACAAUAUGUUACGAAUGUGUAAGUGCUUAAGAUCCCGUUCAAUCUCUUUAACCGUUUGAGGAGAAUACAUGAAACUGGCCUUAGAUCAAAGUUUUGGUACAACCUGUUUAUACAACAUUAUCUGCCCAUGUAACACAGGUCAUUAAACAUUGUGUUGAAUGUAAUGAACAAAGUAUUCUAUGAAUGCUUAGCUAGAACAAGUUCUGCACUGCUUGGUGAGUGGUGCAGUGCUGAACAUGUCUUGCAGUGCUGAACAUGUCUUGCAGUGCUGAACAUGUCUUGCAGUGCUGAACACGUCUUGCAGUGCAGACUGUGAGAGCAGUGGAAAGGUGCAGUAGCCUUAGGAACUUACCUAAUUUAUACCAUCUUCCUUCUGUGACUACUACUGUAUUAUAAACUCAUGAUGGUAUUUGAGGGUUACUGCUUGGUUAUAGGAGAUCUUGCCUAUGCUCUACUUGAUUGAGAAGAUGCACUCCAGAAAAGUUGACCUUUUCUAUGUAUAUUUAUCUUAUGGGGAUCUAUUGUUAAUGUGUCCAGUUCACACCUGUACUCCAUCAAACAAUAAACUUGUAUAGAUGUAUUGUCCUAAUUUAAACCAGAAUUGUACUCAAUGAUGCACUAUGCAGAAAUCCCUCUGCCAUUUCCUGCUUGCUAAAAUUCUAAUAGUUCACCUAAUUUCAGUUUGUGACAAAACAAGCAAGUAUAGUUUAGAGAAUCAUUGUACCAUCUAAACAGCUGUGGAAUAUGUUUUCCAUACUCUAAGCAUAGAAAUAUUGCACAUACAACAGGUCUGCCGCUUCUUAGACUUGCUUUCAAAGAGAGUGACAGAUCUAUAACUCACAUUUCUAUGUGAAUUUGGUCUGGUGUCCCAAAAAGUUACAUAUUGCAGCUUUAAAUAGGAGGGUGUUCAGAAGAGUUGAAUUAUCAAAAUUGCAGACAGAAAUGUACCCUACCAUAUAGAAUGUACACACCUUGUACAAUGAGACAAAGAAUGUCAGAUCUAAGUAAUACAUUUCUACCUGUGACAGCUUUCUCAUUACAGACACCAGCUACUUCCGUUAGAAUCUUGUCAGGCCAAAUUAAGUAAUUUUUUUAUUGAUGUCAAGUUGUGUAAUAAACUACCCUUUGUCUGUUGAUUUGAGCAAAUCUAUUUUUACUUAAAUUAAACUUUCC
ensembl:lncRNA